rnacentral:lncRNA from 1 species
CCUGAACCCAAGAUGACUGGUGUCUUUACAGGAAGAGGAGAGACAGACGCAGAGAGGAGACUCCCAUGUGGUAAAGGAGACACAGGGAAUUUGUAUUGGCAGAGGCAGAGAUUGGAAGGAAGCACCGGGGGAGCCAAAGGAAACUAGGAGAGAAGGAAGGAAGGAUUGUCUCCCGAUGCUCCCAGGAAGCCCAGCCCAGACAUCUGCAGUGUAGACACAGACUCCACAACGUGACAGAAUGUGUUUCUAUUGCUGCCAGCUACCCCGUUUGUGACCAUUUGUUACGGCAGCCCCAGGAAAUGAGUGUGGUCUAUUUUUACCUGUAUCUCCAGUCUUCGUCUGGGUUCAUGCCUGAUUGCACCCUAGCUUAUAUGUGAUUGUUCAUCUCUGGGGAUUGCCCACCUCUGCCCCCCGAAAAAGAACUAGGCCAUCAAAUGUGAGUUCUCUGACAGAAUUCUCCCCCAUUAUCUGUGAUUUUGGCUGCCUGUGCUCAAUAGCGUCCUGGAAGCCGAUGCUCCUGCUUAUGUAUUGCAAAGGGAACGAGGCCGACCAAGAAUCACGGUGCUGUUCAUUUCAGACAUGGGAGCAGAAGACAAGAUUUCAGACUCAUACACACUGCGACCCCAUGCCCGACUUCAAAAAAACAGUGAUUCAUCCAGACACCAAAGCUCAGCAGCUCAGAGUCAACCUCAAAUAUAGUCAAAGCUCACCAAGUGCUCCCCCAAGAAAAAUAGAACCUAAGUGCCUGACGACCUUUACCGCAGGCAUAUUUUUAGGGACGUGCCUAUCCCGUAUACUUCUUGCUCCCUCACGUAGAAGGAAAUCUCUAGAAUAACACCUCCAACUGAGCCUCUCUUCCUCCAACUCUCUUGCUCCCCAGAAUAUCAACUGGCCCAGAUUCCCCAGGUAGGGAGGGACGUCAUCAACAAAGGCUGUUACUCUGCCGAAGAACUGGCCUUGAGGCUCUCCCUAGGAGUUGCAAAGCAAUGAGAUUUCCUUCCCACGGAGUGGCAACACACACGUGAAUGUGCAAAAGGGGAAAAAACAAAUCGCCAAAGCAGAUGUGUAGCUGCGGUUCUCCCAGCCUCUCUAGAGAUGACCUAAAAACCAAAAUCUGAAUCACCUAAGACAGGUGUUUGCUCUUUGCUUCAGAUACUAUUCAACAUUCCUCUAGCAACUG